UUGGAUAAGCUCUCACCAAAUUGAAUCAAGGGAUGCAACCUCCAAAUUCAACACACUAAAGCUUCUCCUUGGAAGGAUGAGAUUACAAGGGAGGCUUGAGUGUGCUAGCACAACCCUCUUGUAAUGGCUAGCCAUUUUGUAUACAAAGGGAAGACCUUGAUUUUAUCUCUUCCUCUUGCCUUGUACAAAGUGAAACCCUAAAGAACCCUAAGUCAGAGCUUGGCUUAUAUAGCCUUGUUACUUAAAUUGGGUAUCACAUGACCUCAUUUCCCAUGAGGUGGGUCAAACCCAAUACCCACAUGGUGUGGCAGGCCCUCUUAUGUUUCUUGGACUUGUUGGGCUUCUCAAUUUAAGUUGUCACAUACAACUUAACUUUAGAUGUUCAAAUGGGUCCAAGCCCAAUAGGCCUUGGAACCCG
rnacentral:lncRNA from 1 species